UACGUAGGCAGCGAGCGUUGUUCGGAGUUACUGGGCGUAAAGGGUGUGUAGGCGGUUAUUUAAGUUUGGUGUGAAAUCUCCCGGCUCAACCGGGAGGGUGCGCCGAAUACUGAAUGACUUGGAGUGCGGGAGAGGUGAGUGGAAUUCCUGGUGUAGCGGUGAAACGCGUAGAUAUCAGGAGGAACACCGGUGGUGUAGACGGCUCACUGGACCGUAACUGACGCUGAGACACGAAAGCGUGGGUAGCAAACAGG
rnacentral:rRNA from 1 species